rnacentral:sRNA from 2 species
GCGUCCGUCGUUGGGGAGUAGCCGAUUUCCGCCGUGCGGAAAUGUACGUGUCAACAUACUCGUUGCAAAACGUGGCACGUACGGACUGAACAUUUUCAGUCAGGCGAGACCAUUGACACACCAACUGCUGUUUACUGGGGGCAGUGGUGUGUUAUAUGGAACUCCCGGUCAGGAC